rnacentral:lncRNA from 1 species
CUUUUUAUCAUAAGAGUCUGGAUAAUUAUCAUUAUCAUAUACUUAGACUAAAUAACAUAUGAUUUUUACCGUAUGAUAAUAGCAUUAAAUUAAAGUAUUUUCCGAAUUGGUGCUUAGCGGGCUGAUAUGAAAAGUUUAUCACAUGCUUCGAUUGUUAUCACAUGCCUUUCCGUAACGUUAUCACAUGGCAUUCCGGUAAUACUCGGCCAAUUCCGGAAAAUACACCUCAAGUGCUACGUUUCAGUGAAAAACAUUACAAAGUAGUGUACAAAACAAUUAUUUGAAUACUGGAAAGUAUAUUGUUUAAAAUAAUAAUAAUUAAAAAAAAAAAAAACAAAUAUUUAAAUAAAUGCAUUUUUUAAAGUUUUUCUGAAACAUAAUUUAGAAAGUUUCUUUAAAAAAGUUGACUUUUCCAAACAAUGAUCAUUAUGUGUAUGUUGUUGAAUUAUUUUUUUGUAGAUUCGUCCAUAUUAAAUGUUUUUUUUUCUCUCUGUUGAGGCAUACGAUAGAAAGAUUUGAUAUUGAAUGUAUCAAAUUUUGGGUCCGACGUCCGUGAACUUUUUACUCUUUAACUUCUUUCGGGAAACCACGUAAAAGGAUCAAAUAUAUGAAUCUGUUAUUUUUCUCUACUGUUGAAGAAUAUGAUAAAAAGAUCAUAACAUGUCAUUUUUCAUAUCGCAUGUAUUAUCAGCCCUCGGUCAAUAUCAGCCCUCGAGCCAUGCGGCUCUUGGGCUGAUAUUGAACCUAGGGCUGAUAAUACAUGCGAUAUGAAAAAUGUCAUGUAAUAAUCUGAUAUUAUCAUAUACUUAGACUCAAUAACAUAAGAUUUUUACCGUAUGAUAAUAGCAUUAAAUUAACGUAUAUUCCAUAUUUUUCAAAUUGGUGCUUAGCGGGCUGUUAUGAAAAGUUUAUCAUAUACUUAGACUAAAUAACAUAUAAAUUUUACCGUAUGAUAAUAGCAUUAAAUUGACGUAAAUUCCAUAUUUUUUGAAUUGGUGCUUAGCGGGCUGAUAUGAAAAGUUUAUCACAUGCUUCGAUUGUUAUCACAUGCCUUUCCGUAACGUUAUCACAUGGCAUUCCGGUAAUACUCGGCAAAUUCCGGAAAAUACACCUCAGUGCUACGUUUUCAGUGAAAAACAUUACAAAGUAGUGUACAAAACAAUUACUUGAAUACUGGAAAGUAUAUUGUUUAAAAUGAUAAUAAUAAAAAAAACCAAAC